rnacentral:rRNA from 1 species
UACGGCGCUUGAAGAUGGGCGUGCGACUGAUUAGGUAGUUGGCGGGGUAACGGCCCACCAAGCCUGCGAUCAGUAACUGGUGUGAGAGCACGACCAGUCACACGGGCACUGAGACACGGGCCCGACUCCUACGGGAGGCAGCAGUAAGGAAUAUUGGUCAAUGGACGCAAGUCUGAACCAGCCAUGCCGCGUGGAGGAUGAAGGUCCUCUGGAUUGUAAACUUCUUUUAUUUGGGAAGAAACCCACGGUUUCUACUGUGGUUGACGGUACCAGAUGAAUAAGCACCGGCUAACUCCGUGCCAGCAGCCGCGGUAAUACGGAGGGUGCAAGCGUUAUCCGGAUUCACUGGGUUUAAAGGGUGCGUAGGCGGGCAGGUAAGUCAGUGGUGAAAUCUCCGAGCUUAACUUGGAAACUGCCAUUGAUACUAUCUGUCUUGAAUACUGUGGAGGUAAGCGGAAUAUGUCAUGUAGCGGUGAAAUGCUUAGAUAUGACAUAGAACACCUAUUGCGAAGGCAGCUUGCUACACAGAAAUUGACGCUGAGGCACGAAAGCGUGGGGAUCAAACAGGAUUAGAUACCCUGGUAGUCCACGCCCUAAACGAUGGAUACUCGACAUCAGCGAUACACUGUUGGUGUCUGAGCGAAAGCAUUAAGUAUCCCACCUGGGAAGUACGACCGCAAGGU